UUGUAUUUUGUCUAACUAAAUGUGCAAAGCAUGUGAAGUACUAGAUGUCUAUUCCUUGUAAAUCUAAAAUCAAACUUAUUCUUGAGUAACUAUUGGGAGAUAUGAAGAAAAUACCCAUAUUAAUUGCAUUUGUUCUUAAAAUGCAAUGUUAAUUAACCCCUUCGCUUCAUAUGUUGGCUUGGUUGUUACUAAUUUUAAGUUGCUACUAGUAUUUAUUUUAAUUUUUGUUGCAGUUGAAUUCUAUCUUGUAUCAACAUUACUAGUAUUUGUUAUUUCUCUUGCUUUGAAGUUUUUUCUGAUUCUUGUUGAAUAUCUCUUCUACCAAUGUUGUGGCUUUACUGAAAGCUAACUAAUUUUUUACUUAAAGAGUCAUAUGCUUUCUUUUCUUUUCUUAGUAGUAGUCAGUUCAGUUGCCAUCAUUAUAGUUGAUUUAUUUUCUUUCACAGGCUAUGCAGACACCAUUUCGGAGCUAUCUGCAAGAGAUGCUAGCUUUUCAUUAAAGGACAAGUCGUUGAAGGUGCAAUGUACAUUGUGCGUAAGCAGUAAAGGACAAGUCACAACUUUUUCUGAAAUUGAAUCCAGUUGAGGGGUUCGUUCCUAUUAAGUAGUUUCAAAUGUAAUUUAAGCAUUUUAUACAAUCUCUUCCCUUUUAUGUCCGGUUUCCUUCUAAACUCUUCAUUUGUGUCAUUAAUGGUAGUAGGUCAAGAGAGAGCAAGCUGAACGUGAAGCACUUGGAGCUUUGCCCCUUUAUCAGCUCACCAUUCCCUGAGAGGACAUUUCUUGCUGCCAGGCGCCAUUGAACUGAAUUACGUAUAAUUGAACAAGUAAAUGUGAUCCCGAACUUCUUCCUCUUUAAGAACUGUAAUGUGUGUAUAUUAAUGAUCAGAAAAUCAUUUUUUUUCUUUUUUUUCUAGCUACUGGUUAUCAACAAAUAAUGCUGUGUAACUUUCUAUUAACUGCAUCACGUAAAUACUGAUGGUUGUGCCUCUUAAUACAGAGUAGUUGUAUGAGAUUA